rnacentral:rRNA from 1 species
GUCGGGAAUCUUGGACAAUGGGGGAAACCCUGAUCCAGCCACGCCGCGUGGGUGAUGGAGGCCUUCGGGUCGUAAAGCCCUGCCAGAAGGGAAGAAAGGGUCUUUGGCUAAUAUCCACGGGCCUUGACGGUACCUUCAGAGGAAGCGCCGGCUAACUACGUGCCAGCAGCCGCGGUAAGACGUAGGGCGCAAGCGUUGCUCGGAAUUACUGGGCGUAAAGGGCGCGUAGGCGGCUGGGCAAGCGGGAUGUGAAAACCCUUGGCUUAACCAAGGAAGUGCAUUCUGAACUGCCCGGCUUGAGUUCGGAAGAGGGCGGUGGAAUUCCCGGUGGAACGGUGAAAUGUGUAGAUAUCGGGAGGAACAUCUGUGGCGAAGGCGGCCGCCUGGUCCGAUACUGACGCUGAAGCGCGAAAGCGUGGGGAGCAAACAGGAUUAGAUACCCGGGUAGUCC